GCCAUGGUGGCACAAUGGUUAAGUGCUCAGCUGCUAACUGAAAGUUUGGUAGCUUGAACCCACCCAGUGGCC
rnacentral:tRNA from 1 species